GACCCAGCGGAGAGAGGCGGGGACUCAGGUCCGCCGCGGGAAAGCAGACCCCGAGCUGGGCGACCCGCGGCGGAGCAGUCGUUGGGGAAAGAGGAGGAUGAAACGGAGAGUUUGAUGAGAGCGUGCGGGAGAGCCAACCCGGUGUGAACACAAAGGAAGCGAAACAUCUGGAUGCUACCUGUCGCAGGCCUGAGCUCCCUGCUCCCGCGCCACUGCUGCACAUUUCAAGCCCGCGGCCCCCAGCCUCCUGCAGAGACCAGGAGCCAGAUCUGAUGGCAGAACCCCACAGCCGUGGUCCGAGACAGCAGGCUCAGCCAAACGUAGAAGAUGGGCCUUUCCUGUGUCCUCAAGGGAACCGCGAGCCUGCACCCCUAACAGCUGAGCCUUCAAGCAAAUGGAAUGUUGGGCCCUUUCCAAACUCCCACUUAAAAGAAUAUGAGGGAAGUAGGGGGAUUGUGUUCUCUUUGUGCAAAACUCUGAAUGGACGCAUUGUGUGAGGCCAGAGGAAAACUUAAUUUGGGACAGUCCAAAUGGUUCUUCAGAAUCUCAUCCUGUCUACCUAUAGAAGAGUCAGAAAAGAGUCAUUGUUGGACAAAUUGCUGCACACCUGGAGAACACAAUCUCAGCUGUCUUUGAACCUAGAUAUGUAGAAGUGUCAGUGCACGUCUAAUCUCCUUGGAGUUGUGUUGGGUUGCCUUCUGAUGCUCACCAAUAAUUUAUAGAAAGAAAAAGAAUACAUCCGACUUGGCUACUGUAUUAAUUGUUGCCUCUUAUAAAGUCAUUCCUCAAAAUACACUUUGAAGAAUAUGUAAUAACUGAUUUCAACUGACUUCAAGUAAUCAUUUUAAAAAGGUCAAACCUAUCAGCCAAUACAGAAACUGAAUGUGAUGGGAAUGUUAAGAUUUCAAAACAACUCAAAGGACUGUGGGAAUGGGAAAAGGUCAUCUUACUUUUGUUCCAGAACAUACUGGUAAUAUGGCUAAGUAUGUAAAUGCAUACUUAGUUGCACAGAGAGGCUGUGCCUAUUAAGGGAUGUUUGAUUAUCCAAAAUAUCUUAAAAUACAUGGUCUUCAGAAAGACAUGUAUUCUGAAAACUAUGAAUCAUGGAAGGAAUCAAACCCCCGUUUUUUUUAAGCUGUAUAACUGAAGCCACCAAUGAAGGGUAAACUAUUUCACAGCAAAGUUGAGAAACAUAUGAAAGAAACAUUUUCAAGAAGUUGGUAGAGCAUGCAACUCUUGAUCGUGGGUAGUGAGCUUGGGCCCCACAUGGGUAUAGAGGUUACUUAAAAAACAAAACAAUGAAGCUUUAAAAACAGAUAAAUAAGUAAAUAAAGCAAAUCUUCAUAUGGCACAAGAACAUAACUGAUAGUUCUAUGAAGAAAAAUGAAUGACAUUUAUUACCAGAAAUGAUAGAAAGCAAUCACCAUUAAUUUGUGGUUGUAUUUUACAAGAAAACAUUUAAAUGUAUGUAGCUAUUUUCUUAUGUCGAAAAGUGUUGAAACUGUUUUUAAUAAAAAAAUCAAUAUUAAUAUAUUGUUCAUACUGAGACACUAGGUAAGGAAAAUAUCCUAAUUAUUAAUAUGUUAUGAUACCAAUAACCAUUAAAAAAUAACAACCAUCAUGCUUUUGACAAGAUGAAGUAGAUUUAUGAAAUCAAGACUUUAUCUUCAUAUAGAAUGUUGUUGUUGAAACUAGUUUCACAGAGUUAAUAAAGCUCAUUUUCGGUAUUUCGGAUGUUUACCAGAAUCAGCAUGUCAUGAAUAUGUGUAUCUACUUGGAAGAAAAGAAACGGAUAUUACUUUGCAGAUGCUUACCUUGAUGUUUAUGGAAUUAGCUAAUUUAUACUCACUUUUUUUUACUGUGUGUGGAUUUCUAAUAUCUUUAGUGCUAUGCAAUUUAAAUUUAUUUGAAUAAAUUCUCUAUUUUUAACUUCUGCUUUAAAAAAAAAAACUUGUGGAAGUACAUUUAUCUACAGUAGAUCUAUGUGUGAAUCCACCUGUGAUGUGGAUUAUGGGAAAUUCUAUAUUCUUCCUUUUGCUUAUCUGUGUUGUCUGCAAUAAACUUGUAUGUUUUACACAAUAAACAUGUAAGCAAAUUAAUGUAACUUUUGAAAGGCAAUAAAAAUCGGAAAGAAAGAAGGAUAGAAUGAAGGAUGAAGGGAAGAGGGAGGGAAGAACAAAAAGAAAGGAAGGAAGGAAGGAAGGAAGGAGAGCUUUUAAAUGAAACUUGACCUUGCAUCAGCUCAGCAAGGACUGGAGGUAACAUACACGGGAAUGGGAUGGGAAACAUACAUGGCGUCCUUCGGUGGUUGAGGAGCAUGAGAGAGUUGGAGAAAUAGCUAAGAGUCUGAGUCUCCCCGUGUGUUUGUGCUUUAGUUUUCCAUCCCAUUCAAUCCCACGACCUACCCUGCAGGAGUGAUGGGUAUUGUCUUUCUUUACAGAGGGGGAGAUGACCCCCCAGAGUGGUGAGGAGACUUGCUGAUCAUACUGUAUGAGCCAAGACCACUCCCCCACUCCCAAAGUUCACCUUCUGUGGUGAGGAAAAAAAGGUAGUUGGGUACAGUCUAAUUUUCCUUUGUAUGUCUAGCAGCUCUUAAUCUUUCUUGUUUUUCUUUUUUUAUUCCUGUGAAGAACCAAUAACUUUUCAAAGCUUUUUUAAUGUGUGUGUGGGUUUUUUUUUUUUUUUUUUCUAAGUAGGCUCUAUACCCAACAUGGGGCUUGAACUCACAACCCUGAGAUUAAGAGUUGCAUGGUCUACUCAAAGCUUUUGAGAUGGCACUUCUGCCCGAGAUCCACCUCCUGUUGCUUGUCCUCGGAUGACCAUAGGUUCUGCACUGUGUGAAGCUACACAAAUGGCUUCCUUAGAGGAACGGUCUUGACUUUCUGCUAAAGAAUGCUUGUGGCCACUCUGUAAUAAAGAUCCAACAAGACAUUAAAAA